UACAAACCCAUCAAAUCAAGUAGAGGAAACAACACAUCCAAGCCAUUUAACCAUUUCCUUAUCACAUGCUGACUCAACCCUCAGUUUCCUCCAGUGGAAGUAAGAGGGAAACUUGGAACCAAAAUUAUGCAAAUAGCAGAGCUAAGCCCCAGGUAGAGGCAGAGCACUACCUCACACUUUGUUUCUGGGGCUGAGAAAUGGCUAUCUGGGUGGACAAAAAAACCCAAAUCGUAGUUUCUCCUAAGAGUCUCCCCUUGGUGACUCUUAGGAAAUUGUUUGAUACAUAAUACAUUUUAGCAUGUUAAGUUACACAACUAGAAGGAAAACCCUAAAGCAUUUUCUUAAGUCUUAAUCACACAAUUAAUAAAUAUAAUGGAAUGGAUUCAACAAAAUACAUAGAGAACUAUAUCCAGCAGGAUGUGUUACCUUUAUCUGGAGACAAGUUACAGAGAGUGUUCAAGUUCUAUUCCAGAGGGACCACCUAAGGAGAUUAUACAUCAAUCACACAUUCACUUCUGAUAUAUUUUCUCUGAUAUAUUCUGCUAGAAUGCCCUUCAUGAAUAUCAGCAUCCCAUGUUUGAGGCAGAUGUUGGGUUAGGCCCUAUAGGCGCAGAAAUUGUCACAAAUGCCAGCCUUUGGUGUGAGAGACAAGCCUUCUCAUCUAUCAGCAAGCACACAUAACAAGGUUAUCUUUGAGGUCAUGGGGAAGUGGGUUCCCACAAGCGGGCAAGUGCAUCAGCAUCUCAGUAUGGUCUACAGUCCAAGACCAGUUUGUACCAUUUUAAGGUUAUCCUACCUCAGGUAGAAGGAGGUGGGAUAAUGACCACAUACUACAUUCUUGAGAAUCCUCAGACUAGGGUGAAACAAAGUGAUCCACCCUCAGCUUGAAUGAGUGGACACAUUUAAAGCAUGUUAGAGUGGCAAAUAAUAUUCAUAGCCUGUAUUAGUUCAUUCUCAUGCUGCUAAUAAAGAUGUAUCUGAGACUGGGUAAUUUAUAAAGGAAAGAGGUUUACCAUUCAGCAUGGCUGGGGAGGCCUCAGGAAACUUUACAAUCAUGGAAGAAGGGGAAGCAAACACAUCCUUCUUCACAUGGUGGCAGCAAGGAGAAGUGCUGAGCAAAAGGCACCCUUGUAAAACCAGCGGCUCUCGUGAGAACUCACUCUCACGAAAACAGCAGCAUGGGAGUAACCACCCUCAUGAUUCAGUUAACUCCCAUCAGGUCCCUCCCAUGGCACAUGGGGAUUAUGGAAACUACAAUUCAAGAUGAGAUUUGGGUAGGGACACAGCCAAACCAUAUCACAGGCCUAGCUGGUCUUCAGGUUGCAGUUACUAUCUGAACUCCCCUGAAUAUUGGCCAAUUAGUACUGUCCUUUUCCUAAGGUAAUAACCUCAAUCAGGUUUGACUUCCCA
rnacentral:lncRNA from 1 species